rnacentral:rRNA from 1 species
GACGAACGCUGGCGGCGUGCUUAACACAUGCAAGUCGAGCGGUAAGGCCCUUUCGGGGGUACACGAGCGGCGAACGGGUGAGUAACACGUAAGUAAUCUACCUUCGAGUGGGGAAUAACGUCCGGAAACGGACGCUAAUACCGCAUAAUGCAGCGGCAUCGCAAGAUGACAGUUGUUAAAGAUUUACCGCUUGAAGAGGAGCUUGCGGCAGAUUAGCUAGUUGGUAAGGUAAUGGCUUACCAAGGCUACGAUCUGUAACCGGUCUAAGAGGACGGUCGGUCACACUGACACUGAAUAACGGGUCAGACUCCUACGGGAGGGCAGCAGUCGGGAAUUUUGGGUCGAAUGGGCGAAAGCCUGACCCAGCAACGCCGCGUGAAGGAUGAAGUAUUUCGGUAUGUAAACUUCGAAAGAAUGGGAAGAAUAAAUGACGGUACCAUUUAUAAGGUCCGGCUAACUACGUGCCA